rnacentral:rRNA from 1 species
UACGGAGGGUGCAAGCAUUAAUCGGAUUUAUUGGGCGUAAAGGGCGCGUAGGCGGCGACCCAAGUCAGAUGUGAAAGUCCUGGGCUUAACCUGGGGACUGCAUUUGAUACUGGGGUUGCUUGAAUUCGGGAGAGGAUAGCGGAAUUCCCAGUGUAGAGGUGAAAUUCGUAGAUAUUGGGAAGAACACCGGUGGCGAAGGCGGCCAUCUGGACGGAUACUGACGCUGAGACGCGAAAAGCGUGGGGGAGCAAACAGGG